rnacentral:rRNA from 1 species
GACGAACGCUGGCGGCGUGCUUAACACAUGCCAGUCGAACGGAAAGGCCCUGCUUUUGUGGGGUGCUCGAGUGGCGAACGGGUGAGUAACACGUGAGUAACCUGCCCUUGACUUUGGGAUAACUUCAGGAAACUGGGGCUAAUACCGGAUAGGAGCUCCUGCUGCAUGGUGGGGGUUGGAAAGUUUCGGCGGUUGGGGAUGGACUCGCGGCUUAUCAGCUUGUUGGUGGGGUAGUGGCUUACCAAGGCUUUGACGGGUAGCCGGCCUGAGAGGGUGACCGGCCACAUUGGGACUGAGAGAAGGCCCAGAGUCCUAAGGGAGGCAGCAGUGGGGAAGAUUGCACAAUGGGCGGAAGCCUGAUGCAGCAACGCCGCGUGCGGGAUGACGGCCUUCGGUUUGGAAACCGCUUUCGCCUGUGACGAAGCGUGAGUGACGGUAAUGGGUAGAGAAGCACAGGCUAACUACGUG